ACGUCCGGGAUUGAGAACUGCAGCGGAGCGUCUCCACCACAGGAUUUUCGUCUACUGAGCGUGGUCCUCUGCGGAGUCUCUUGCUCACCUUCACGCUCCACCUGUAGAGAGGACAGAGGAAAGUGUGCUUUGAGAAGGGGCUCUCUCGCUCUGUGCCAUCCCCACCAGCACAAUGAAGAGGUCUGAGCUUCUCCUUUUUAGCUCUGGGAUCGUCUUUCACUUCCAAGAACAUACAGUGGAAUUGCAGCAAAUGUGCAAUUGGAACGCGUCUUCGAGACAAUGAUGUCUUAUGCUUGCUGUUGACCAGGAAGCAGCCG